CAAUUGUUCUUUAAUUGGGGACUAGAAUGAAUGAAUUUUUGGUUAAAUUCUUUAUUUUUAUAUUUUAUUAAAAUUUAUUUAUUAGGUGAAAAUACCUAAAAAUAUUUAUUAGACGAGAAGACCCCAGGAAUUUGUUUUAUUUUUUUUUUAUUGGGGCGAUAUUUAAACAAAUAAACUUUAAUUAUUAUAAAUUUAACGAAAUAUUUUAAUUAAAAAUAAAUUACCCUGGGGAUAACAGCAUAAUUUUUAUAAAAGAUUG
rnacentral:rRNA from 1 species